AAUGUAUGCUAUGUGCUGACAGGAAAUAACAUGUAAAUAUACCAUGAAGACAUGACAUGCAGUAUUUAAGGUAGGAAUAAUACUGAGUUACUCUUGUGCUCUACACAUCAUAAUCAGCCAGGCUAGCAGUCAUUUAGCCCCUUCCGAUGAUAUUCAAGGUCGGCACCUAAAGAAGAAGUAACAAGGAGAAAAUGUAUUCUCUUCCACACCAGACAGGGAUCAUAGCUGUUCUACAUUUGAGGGAUUUUGAGCCACUGUGAAACUUACAUGAAGCUGUCACACGUCACUGUCCACCUUGUGCUAGAGCAGUACCCAGUUUCUAUGUCCACUCCACUCGAGGGACAGGAAAAUUAAACAGUCAUUCUGGUGAUUCGUGUAACGAAUGCAUUUAUUGCGUUACUUACUGAGCAAUUUACUUAUAUAUAGUAUAUAGUAUAUUUAUUUAUGUCCAUCAUGACAUGAUGGCCCUGGAAUGUAAAAGUAAAAAGGGGAGGGAUCUUGUGUGACGUCACUAGCUGCGGUUGUGCGUUAAUCGGCUGCAUGUGUGCAGUGCAUAGUGCGACUCGGGCAGCUCAGCUGGGCUUCUUUCUAACAUGGAGAGACAAAGGCGACUUAUCUGAACUCGGUCCUCCAAUCGUCUUUAUACCGUCCUCCGGGUGGGGAGCUACAGAAAUCAGUACAGACGUCUACGUUUACCAGAACACCUCUUUGCAAGACCAUGACAACAGACUCCUGCUGUUGACAGAAGUGUGGGAGGCUUCACCAUGUCCUGGAGUCUGCAUCAUUAGAACAGGAUGUGAUGUCGCGAGGGAGGAUGGCAGAGUAUGGACACAGCCAUGGGGGGAAACCUGUCCAAAUAUGCCCCCAUCUUCCUCGUCCUUGCACUGUCAGGAGUCCUCUUCCUCUUGCGGAACAUUCACACUCUGGAGAGAUGGAACUGCCAGUCGGUGUCCUCUCUCUACCAGCUCCAGAGCAGCAUCAGUUCCGUCUUCAAGCCCUCUGGACCCUUCCUGCCUCUGGACCAGAAUCACAGCUACUGUCCCAACCUGGGCCAGGAGGCGUCCGGAGAGGAGGCCCAUGAGGAGCGCUACCUCCUGGAGUCCAUUUCCUGGCCUGAGCCCCCCGCGCUGGGGGUGCCGGUCCGCCAGAGCAGCGACCCGGCUCACAGUUAUUUUGUGAUACAGCCGCCCACCGACAUCUCGGGCCGAGCCACGUGGCGGGUGGGCGGCAAGCUGGAAGUGCUGGUCCACAUGCAGAACUUCCUGGGCCAGCCCAAGAGGUAUGGCGGGGACUUCCUGCUGGCCCGGAUCCGUUCCCCAGAGAUUGGCGCCGGUGCAUCGGGCUGGGUCGUGGACCGGCAGGAUGGCCUGUACGCAGUGGAGCUCCCACUGCUGUGGGCGGGGGCCGCGCAGGUGGAGGUGACGCUGGUGCACUCAAGCGAGGCGGUGGCCAUGCUACGGCGCUUGAGGGAAGAGCGGCCGGAUCGUGUCUUCUUCAAGAGCCUCUUCCGUUCCGGCUUCCUGUCCGAAACCACCAUCUGCAACCUGUGCCUGCCCACCGGACCCCGUCAGCCAGCGCUGUGCAACUACACAGAUCCACACACAGGUGAGCCCUGGUACUGCUACAAACCUAGGAUGCUGGACUGCGACACGCGCAUCAACCAUGCCAAAGGGGGCUACAAGAAGCACCUGCUCACCACCACAGAGUCAAUGCUGUUCUUGAGCUCUACCAUCAAAGCGCCGGUCCAAGCCCUCGGGAUGGACAACAUAACUAUUUUGCCCGCAGUGAAAGAGCUGUCUUUGGUUCGCAGAGACCGGGCAAAGUUCCUGCCGUCUGGGUAUUACUACCAGGGUUCUUGGAGACCUUUAGCUGGAAUCCCAAUACAACAGUUCAAUGACUCCUCCGCCAUUACCCAGUGUCUUCAAGGGAAACUGUUUUACAUGUAUGGAGACUCUACUGUUCGACAGUGGUUUGAGUACCUCAACGCCUUUGUUCCAGAACUGAAGGAGUUCAACCUCCACAGCCCAAAGAACGUGGGGCCCUUUAUGGCUGUAGACAGCGUCCAUAACAUCCUGCUGAAGUACCGCUGCCACGGCCCGCCCAUCCGCUUCUCCACAGUCUCCUCCAGCGAGCUACGCUACGUAGCUAACGAGCUUGACGGCCUGCCAGGCGGCCAUGACACCAUUGUGGCUCUGAGCAUCUGGUCGCACUUCAGCACAUUCCCCGUAGAGGUGUACCUGCGGCGACUGCGCCAUAUCCGCCGCGCCUUAGCCCGCCUUCUGGACCGGGCGCCAGGCACGCUGGUGGUGGUGCGCACGGCUAAUCCGCAGAAGCUGGACCCAGAGGUCAGCCUGUACAACAGCGACUGGUUCUCCGUGCAGCUGGACUCUGUACUGAGGGCCAUGUUCCGCAGCCUGCGGGGGGUGGUGCUGCUGGACGCGUGGGACAUGACUCUGGCGCACCCCACCCAUCCCCACCUUCUGCACCCUCCCCCAGACAUUGUGAAGAACAUGAUCGAUCUCAUCCUGUCCCACAUUUGUCCAGCCAAACAGGAGAAGAAGAAGAGCUAGCCAGUAUAGGGAGGGCUGGGGGGUAGAGGACAGACGUAGAGUAAGGAGUUGAAGUAGUGACAUUUUGGCAUGAGAAUACUACAGAGCCCUUAAAAUCAUAAAAGGUCAUAGUUUUUUAAAUCUUGCGGAAACAAGUUACUUAUCAAGAUGCUUACCUUGUUCCCACAAAUUAUAAUUAUCUUGUCCGCACAAGAUAAUUCUGUAAUACGCACAAGAUAAAAAAUAUCACCUUGCAGGACUUUAGGCGCUCCGUAGAAUACACAUCUUGAUACAGGUUGCUGAGAUUUUGGUGCCAAGAUUUUACAGGUUUUCCUUGAGUUUUCAUUUCCACCCAGCUGGAGAAGAGCGCUGCUCCACUCCCCUGUCCUGAACCAUCAGCCCAACUGUGAGCCCUGGGAUGCAAUAGAUCAGUGGUUCCCAAACUUUUUACAGUCCCGUACCCCUUCAGGCAUUCAAUCUCCAUCUACGUACCCCCCCGUUUUUUUUUCAUGUUUGUAACCGCUGCCCCACCUCCUCCCCCGGCGCACAUAUAGGCCUACAGCCUAUAACACUUGAAACUGUGAAAUUGUCAGGGAUUUCAGGACUCGGAUGGAAGUUUAGAUCAAACAGAGUUGUAUUAGCAAUACAACCAGGUAAAGGGAAAUGAGAAACAAACAAGGAGGUCGAACUAACUCACUCAGGGGUUUAACGGGAAGAACUAUUUAACUCAAACAAGGCAAAACAGAUGAAAACCAAGGUACUCAGCGUCAAACGCCGGAAGAACACAAACUAGCAAUGUUUAACUAAGAACAUAACUUAACAGUGUGCAGAAGUGUGUGCGUUGAAUUUGAAAAGGGGGGCGUGGCCAGAGCGGAGUUCAGCCAG